rnacentral:rRNA from 1 species
CGGACGGGUGAGUAACGCGUGAGGAACCUGCCUUUCAGAGGGGGACAACAGUUGGAAACGACUGCUAAUACCGCAUAACAUAUGUUUGUCGCAUGGCAGAUAUAUCAAAGAUUUAUCGCUGAGAGACGGCCUCGCGUCUGAUUAGCUGGUUGGUAGGGUAACGGCCUACCAAGGCGACGAUCAGUAGCCGGACUGAGAGGUUGGCCGGCCACAUUGGGACUGAGAUACGGCCCAGACUCCUACGGGAGGCAGCAGUGGGGAAUAUUGGGCAAUGGGCGCAAGCCUGACCCAGCAACGCCGCGUGAAGGAAGAAGGCUUUCGGGUUGUAAACUUCUUUUAAGAGGGAAGAGCAGAAGACGGUACCUCUUGAAUAAGCUCCGGCUAACUACGUGCCAGCAGCCGCGGUAAUACGUAGGGAGCGAGCGUUGUCCGGAUUUACUGGGUGUAAAGGGCGUGCAGCCGGGAGUACAAGUCAGAUGUGAAAUCCCGCGGCUCAACCGCGGAACUGCAUUUGAAACUGUAUUUCUUGAGUACUGGAGAGGCAGACGGAAUUCCUAGUGUAGCGGUGAAAUGCGUAGAUAUUAGGAGGAACACCAGUGGCGAAGGCGGUCUGCUGGACAGCAACUGACGGUGAGGCGCGAAAGCGUGGGGAGCAAACAGGAUUAGAUACCCUGGUAGUCCACGCUGUAAACGAUGGAUACUAGGUGUGCGGGGACUGACCCCCUGCGUGCC